CCUACGGGUGGCAGCAGUGGGGAAUGUUGCGCAAUGGGGGAAACCCUGACGCAGCAACGCCGCGUGCGGGACGAAGGCCCUCGGGCUGUAAACCGCUUUCAGCAGGGAAGACAUCGACGGUACCUGCAGAAGAAGCUCCGGCUAACUACGUGCCAGCAGCCGCGGUAAUACGUAGGGGGCGAGCGUUAUCCGGAUUUACUGGGUGUAAAGGGCGUGUAGGCGGGAAAGCAAGUCAGAUGUGAAAACCAUGGGCUCAACCUGUGGCCUGCAUUUGAAACUGUUUUUCUUGAGUACUGGAGAGGCAGACGGAAUUCCUAGUGUAGCGGUGAAAUGCGUAGAUAUUAGGAGGAACACCAGUGGCGAAGGCGGUCUGCUGGACAGCAACUGACGCUGAGGCGCGAAAGCGUGGGGAGCAAACAGGAUUAGAUACCCUUGUAGUC
rnacentral:rRNA from 1 species